UACGGAGGGUGCAAGCGUUAUCCGGAUUUACUGGGUUUAAAGGGUGCGUAGGCGGGCCUAUAAGUCAGUGGUGAAAUCCUCCGACUCAAUCGGAGAACUGCCAUUGAUACUAUUGGUCUUGAAUACAGUUGAGGUGGGCGGAAUGUGUCGUGUAGCGGUGAAAUGCUUAGAUAUGACACAGAACACCGAUUGCGAAGGCAGCUCGCUAAACUGAUAUUGACGCUGAGGCACGAAAGCGUGGGGAUCAAACAGG
rnacentral:rRNA from 1 species